GAAAUGCGAUAAGUAAUGUGAAUUGCAGAAUUCAGUGAAUCAUCGAAUCUUUGAACGCAACUUGCGCUCCUUGGUAUUCCUUGGAGCAUGCCUGUUUGAGUAUCAUGAAAUCUUCAAAGUAAAUCUUUUGUUAACUCAAUUGGUUUCUACUUUGGUAUUGGAGGUCUUUGCAGCUUCACACCUGCUCCUCUUUGUUCAUUAGCUGGAUCUCAGUGUUAUGCUUGGUUCCACUCGGCGUGAUAAGUUAUCUAUCGCUGAGGACACUGUAAAAGGUGGCCAAGGUAAAUGCAGAUGAUCCGCUUCUAAUAGUCCAUUGACUUGGACAAUACUUUUAUGAUCUGAUCUCAUAUCAGGUAGGACUACCCGCUGAACUUAAGC
rnacentral:misc_RNA from 1 species